UACAGAGACCUCAAGCGUUAUCCGGAAUCAUUGGGCGUAAAGCGUACCGAUAGGUGGUUUAUUAAGUCUUGGGUAAAAGCCGGAAGCUUAACUUCCGCGUUUGCUUAAGAUACUAAUAGACUAGAGGGGCAAAGAGGAGAUUGGAACGAACGGUGUAGUAGUGAAAUGCGUUGAUAUCGUUCGGAACACCGAAAGCGAAGGCAGAUCUCUGGGUGCCACCUGACACUGCUAGGACGAAAGCGUGGGGAGCGAACAGG
rnacentral:rRNA from 1 species